CAGCCGCCCGCCAGUGCAAGAAGCUGCCCGCCUUGGCCACGAGGUUAUUUGCUCACUUGCUCCCCGGCACGGCCCCCUCCCGGCCGGCGCGCACCGGGUGAGUCAGAGGUCUAGCUGGGCCUCGCCCUUUGCCACCCGCUGCCGGCUCCCCCGGUGCCAGUCCGCUGCUCCGACGAAAAGCCGGAACGGCCCGCGGCUUGCGAUCGCCUUUUCGGAAAAUACAGCAGGAAAGAGAGCUGAAUGACCAAACGCCUCGGUUGCCAGAAGCACCCAGCCCCAAGCCCCGAGCUCAGCCACAGGACCACUUGCUCCAUCAGCCUCAGCCCAGUGAUCCUGAGACCCAUCCACACGUUCUGCAAACAAGCUACAGCACUGGAAAACCCAAACUAGACUCUUGCAGUUCCCAAGCCCUUCAGUUAACAUUGCUCACUGUGGCUAAGGGGAGGGAACGCAAAUGAUUUAUAUUUCACUGGCUAGGUUGAAGAAACUCAAGGGAGAUGUGUUCUGCUUCAAGACAGGGGGGAAAAAUUCCCCGAAACUGUAAUGCAAAAGCUUUGUAGUAUUUUUAAACCUUUGAUUCAGUCCAUAUGUGACAUCUGAA